ensembl:lncRNA
CCCGGGCCGGCCCCGCCCCGCCCCGCCCUGCCUGGUGAGUCACGGCGCGAGGCGGCUGGUCGGGAAGCGCGUCAGUGCAGCGAGGGCGCUAAGUUCUGAGCCCGGCCCUCAGCCCGGCCGCUUGUCGGCUUUGGAGGACGCGCUGUUCCCUGCGGCCGCGGUUGCCUACGCGCGCCGCUGUCGUACCGCUCGUCCCGGCGCCCCGCAGAACCGGUUCCGCGCCUGGCAGGGCGCGCGGGUUCCGCCCGGCCGACAGGAGGCGCCCUUUGGCGCAGCCUGUGGAACUGCGACCGCCCCGCGCCUGGCGGACAAGAUGGCGGCGCCGCUGAGGGCAGCGAAGUGGCUGCGGCUGGCGGGUGGCGGGCCCGGCUUCGCUUUGACUCGUUCUGCAUUUUUUGCAAGAAAGCGUACUUACGACCAACCGAACUGGUUUGGAGUCGGGCUGGCUUUCACCACCAGUGCUGCCCUGUGGGCUUUUCUUUUCAAGCAGCAUAAUGAAGAUGUAAUGGAAUAUGAAAGAAGAAAACAAGAGAGGCACCAUAAGUGUACAGGUUGUUCAUAGUAAGUAUUGUUGACCAAAUGUUUGAUGAGAAAUACCGUCCUGUGAAUUAAGGAGUACGGCGGACCUAUCUGAAAGUAUUUAAACCUUAUCUGUUCAUACAUUUCACAUGCAAGCCUAUGAAAUAAAGUGUGAAAGAAGCUUCUGAAGACUUCUCUUGCCGUUUGUAUUUUAUCCCACCGGCUUUCGUAAAUUGUUUUCUGAUUGCAUUUACGUAUUUCAUAGUUCUGAAAGUAAUGUUGAUAAAGUGCACGGUUUUCUGGAAUGUGUAUUACAAAGUCGAGCAUCAGUUAAGAGACAGCCCAGGAGGCAGCUGGAAAGGAGCUGCUUGUUGAAGGGCAGUAUCUCGUGGAUAGUGCCGUGACUUUGCAGUGGUUCUGAAAGGCAGCGCCGGGUGAGUGCUUGCAGGGCUGUGCUCCGGGUGUCACAGAGGAGAGGCAGGAGCGGGCUCAGCCGGAGGGCGUGCUGGCUGUCAUUGCUCUGUGUUCUAAUGCUGUCUCGCUGUUCCCCUGGUGAGACGAACAGCUGCUGUUCCUGCUGCCUUCUGAGUGCUCAGCCCUACGCUUGCUGUAAGUCAAGGUCAGGCAAGGACAAA